rnacentral:rRNA from 1 species
UACGUAGGGGGCAAGCGUUGUCCGGAUUUACUGGGCGUAAAGAGCGUGUAGGCGGCCAAGCAGGUCCGUUGUGAAAACUGGAGGCUUAACCUCCAGACGUCGACGGAAAACCGCGUGGCUAGAGUCCGGAAGAGGAGAGUGGAAUUCCUGGUGUAGCGGUGAAAUGCGCAGAUAUCAGGAAGAACACCAAUGGCGAAGGCAGCUCUCUGGGACGGUACUGACGCUGAGACGCGAAAAGCGUGGGGGAGCGAAACAGG